CUUCAUCAGCAGCAACAGCAGCCUCAGCAUCAUCAUCAUCAUCAGUUCUUGCCCUGUGGAGUUGGAGGGGCAGAGGGAGAGAUUUGUCUGAUGGCCACCGCCGUGAGGUUGGAGAGUGACGGCUACCGCUGAUUGGCUGGGAGCCGACCAAUCGGGUCGUCGCGACCCGGCGUCACAAGGGACCCCCUGCAGUUUGACCAAUCACAGAGACUCUCACCGCGUGACUCCGCUCGGACCAAUCAGAGCCUCACACACACCGUGACUCCACUCCGACCAAUCACAGAGACUCUCACUCUCACCACGUGACUCCACUCCGACCAAUCACAGAGACUCUCACACACACCGUGACUCCACUCCGACCAAUCACACAGACUCACACACCGUGUGACUCCACUCCGACCAAUCACAGCGACUCUCACCACGUGACUCCACUCCGACGAAUCACAGAGACCCUCACACACCGUGACUCCAUUCCGACCAAUCACAGAGACUCUCACCGUGUGACUCCGCUCCGACCAAUCACAGAGACUCACACCCCGUGACUCCACUCCGACCAAUCAGAGACACUCUCACCGCGUGACUCCACACCGACCAAUCACAGAGACUCUCACCACGUGACUCAAUUCCGACCAAUCACAGAGACUCACACACCGUGCGACUCCACUCCGACCAAUCACAGAGACUCACACACCGUGCGACUCCAUUCCGACCAAUCACAGAGACUCACACACCGUGUGACUCCACUCCGACUAAUCACAGAGACUCACCGCGUGACUCCACUCCGACCAAUCACAGAGACUCUCACACACCGUGUGACUCCCGCUCCGACCAAUCACAGAAACUCUCACACACACCGCGUGACUCCGCUCCGACCAAUCACAGAGACUCUCACACCCUGUGACUCCACUCCGACCAAUCACAGACACUCUCACCGCGUGACUCCACACCGACCAAUCACAGAGACUCUCACACACCGCGUGACUCCACUCCGACCAAUCACAGAGACUCUCACACACCGCGUGACUCCGCUCCGACCAAUCACAGAGACUCUCACACACCGCGUGACUCCGCUCCGACCAAUCACAGAGACUCUCACACACCGCGUGACUCCGCUCCGACCAAUCACAGAGACUUUCACACACCGCGUGACUCCACUCCGACCAAUCACAAAGACUCUCACACACCGUGUGACUCCACUCCGACCAAUCACAGAGACUCUCACAACCCGUGACUCCACUCCGACCAAUCACAGACACUCUCACCGCGUGACUAUGCACCGACCAAUCACAGAGACUCUCACACACACCGUGUGACUCCACUCCGACCAAUCACAGACUUUCACCGUGUGACUCCACUCCGACCAAUCACAGAGACUCACACACCACAUGACUCCACUCCGACCAAUCACAGAGACUCUCACACACCGUGUGACUUCCGCUCCGACCAAUCACAGAGACUAUCACACCGUGUGACUCCACUCCGACCAAUCACAGAGACUCUCACACCGCGUGACUCCGCUCCAACCAAUCACAGAAACUCACACACCGCGUGAGUCCACUCCGACCAAUCACAGAGACUCUCACACACCGUGUGACUCCGCACCGACCAAUCAUAGAGACUCUCACACACCCCGUGACUCCGCUCCGACCAAU